rnacentral:rRNA from 1 species
AUUGAACGCUGGCGGCAUGCUUUACACAUGCAAGUCGAACGGUAACAGGCCGCAAGGUGCUGACGAGUGGCGAACGGGUGAGUAAUGCAUCGGAACGUGCCCAGUCGUGGGGGAUAACGCAGCGAAAGCUGUGCUAAUACCGCAUACGAUCUAUGGAUGCAAGCGGGGGACCGUAAGGCCUCGCGCGAUUGGAGCGGCCGAUGUCAGAUUAGGUAGUUGGUGGGGUAAAGGCCUACCAAGCCAACGAUCUGGAGCUGGUCUGAGAGGACGACCAGCCACGCGGGGACGGAGACACGGCACAGAGUCCUACGGGGGGCAGCAGUGGGGAAGUUUGGACAAGGGGCGAGAGGCUGAUCCAGCAAUGCCGCGUGCAGGAAGAAGGCCAUCGGGUUGUAAAGUGCUUUUGUACGGAACGAAACGGUCUGGGUUAAUACCCUGGGCUAACGACGGUACCGUAAGAAUAAGCACCGGCUAACUACGUGCCAGCAGCCGCGGUAAAAC